CGGCGGCUGCAGCGGCAGGAGCCGGCGCUUGAGCUCGGGCGACGGCGCUGGCGGAGACGCCGGCUGCUCCUCCCCUCCCCGCCGCAGGUGUUCCCCUCUGGAGAAGACACACCCACAGUUAGUACUUCCUUCAGAUGUUGACACUUGGUGAACAGCUGCUCUUGGUCACAAGAUUUAGAAGACAGAGUCCAUCCUCCCAGAUUGGAUCUCUUUUUGUAUGGAUCUUCUAUUUCUAUGUCUUUUUUAAAAAGAACUUUUUUGGAAAACAUUUUUGAUUACAACUGUUCAUCCUCAUCUAUGCAAAGAAAGGAAAGAUAUUGCUGGGAUUUUGAGGAGCUUUUCCUGACAGGAUUCCUGUACACCCUGGAAGUGCUUGAGGAAGAGUGAUGAAGGC